rnacentral:lncRNA from 1 species
UUUUUUUAUUUUUAUUUAUUUUGUAAAUUUUUUUUAAAGAUUUAUUUAUUUAUUCAGAGAGAGAGAGACUGAGAGGCAGAGACACAGGCGGAGGGAGAAGCAGGGUCUCCAGGAUCACAUCCAGGGCUGCAGGCGGCGCCAAACCGCUGCGCCACCGGGGCUGCCCUAGGAACCAUUUUAAACCAUAAAAUCACCAAAGACAAGUUCAAAAAGGCCCAAAAAGGGGGUGCUAAUUAGACCACAAAGAGAACACUUAUUUACAGGAGGAGACUUAAAACGAGGAGACAGAGUGUCGCCUCAUUUGAUCUUGGCUGGGAACUGAGCGUCCGGCCACUCAAAUUUCCCUGCGCUGUGUGUUGUCUGUCAAUGGCCACGAAAGCACUGCAACUAUUGAUGUGGUCAUUACAAAUACAUUUUAGCAAGUAGGCAAAUAUUCAAAUACUGAAUCCUCAAACAAUGAGCACUGACUGUACCUGCCUCACCAAGCAGCUUUGGUAAUUCAAAGAAUUAAGACAGAUAAAGCGCUGAGAACUCUGCCAUCUUGGCACACAGUGGACUCUCAAUAGAUGUUAGCUGUUACUGCAGAGUCAAAGAGGUCCAGAAAAUAUCACGUGGGGUAAAAAGCAUUUAACAAAAUGAUGAAAAGGAACACAGGUGGUAACAGAGAAGCACAGAGGAGAUAAUAUGGCACGGAGGAAGGAAACCCACUCAAAUAUUUCUUUCCUAAAGUGAUCUCUCAUUUAUUUAUUCUCCUGCCUUUCCACUAAGAGGUUACCCUCCCUGUGCCAGCCAUCUACCCUUCUGCUCUCAAAUGCAUUCUCCGCAUGCCCCUGCCCCUUAUGCAACAUUUCAUAGGAAACCACAUCUCCCAAACCCCCUUGCCAUCUGGUUUCCAUAUAGGGUUGGCCUACGGGAGGUGUCAGCAGAAGCUGGGAGGGUGGACAUGGGGAGGAGGCCAGCAGCAUCUCCUUCACAGAUGCAGCUCUUUCCAGAGGGCUCCACGUUCACUCUGAUCCCAUCCCCACCCCAACAAACAUCCAUCCUGCUGCAGCAGGAUGCAGGGGUGGUGGUGGGGGGAUAUCUUCCCAUGGCUGGAGAUCUGAGUGGCCACAUAUUCUUGUUGGUAUCUCAUCUCCUCCACCCUUUAUAUGUUCACUUUUCUAUAGUAGGUUCUCUGCAAAAGGCCUAGUCCAGUUGUCCCAUCACUCUAGCACACACAGACUCUGGAAGGAUGUUACGCUCUGCAACUCUCCAAAGACUCUCCCCUAUGCACACUCACUGUCCCUCUCACAGUCUCACUUCUGUCUUAUUCUGACUCACUGGCUUCCCUGUAUUGAAAGCAAAUAAAGGUGUUCGGGGGGAUAUUGUGUGUUUUUUUAAUUCACUGCCGCAGGGGGAAAAAAAAAAAACAGCAUACUUAUGAAAAUAUUAGAGCUCCUUCAGCUUUUUAUUAAAUUACAUUACCUCGGCCACCUUUCAACAGGAGCUACUAGCUGUCCCUACACCAGUGGUUUUCUUCUGCUUAAGUGCUAUUUACUUUUUAAAGACUAAGCAUUACUCUCAACUCAUAAAUACCUAGAUUAAAAAAAAAAUCCAAAUGCAGCCUAUGGCAUAUAGCCAAUAUUCCUUUGUAGUCAGCACUGGCCAUUCCUGGCUGCUGACAGCAGCCUGUGUAAUCACCGUCCGUGAAUUGAGGGACCUUCCAUUCUCUUUUCUUUCCAUUGUUUCUCACCCCGGUGCAUAAAAACGUAAUGCCUGACCAUUGUCACAAGCGGGCAUAAAAGAGGAAUAAAAGAGUUCAUGUGGAUAAAAGAAUGCAAUAGUGAACACGACUUUGGUAAGUGAAUCAGAAAAUUGGGAGUCAGGGAGGCUAUGGACAAUGCUCACAACUCCCUGAAUCCACAUUCUCCUUUCCGGGAAACGCAGCCAGACUACAUUUUCUGGUGAGGUGUGGCCAGGUGACUGAAUCUGAGACAAUGGAAUAUAAAUGGCAAGGGACUAUCCAUUGCCAGGUCUGCCCGGCUGAAACAUCCUCCCAAGUUGGCUCCUGCACCUGCCCCCCACCCACCCACCCACCAUCUCAUAGGCCACACAGAUGCCACUGUGGGCUAAAUCGUGGAGGGCCUGUCUCCAGAGUCAGGACCUUGCUUGUCUUCAUCAGUAAAUCACUUCACAAAAGGGAUCAUUACCCCACACUAUUGCCACCAGCCUAAAACUAGGAAUUAGAAAAAACUUCUACUUGAUGCAACCUGACUGUACACACAGACACACACACACGCAGAGAGAUCCACUUGUUACAGAAGGGCACUAAUGCAGGACACACGUCUUUUGAAUGAGCUGGUCACACAUUUCAGGCAGCCAAGAAGGUAUAUGAAAUGAUCCCCAGCAUGUCCCUUCUAGAAAGAUCUCUAAAAGGAAAUCCAUUUGGGUGGAACACUCAAGAAUAAGCAUCUGUUUCUGGCCCCUCAUUUCCUAUCAGGGAGAACAUUGUUGUGCAAACCAACUUCUACUUUAUAGCAUAAAAAAACAAGAUGCAGAGAGGUCAGGGUGGGUCUCAUAGCAUAACAGACAUGGAGCUGGGGCCACCUCGGUGGCUCUAUGGGUUGGGCUUCCAACUCUUGGUGUUGGCUCAGGUGGGUGGGAUCAAGCCCUGCGCUCAGUGGGGAGUCGGCUGGAGAGUCUCCCUCUCCUAAGCAAUCAAUCUUAAAGGGUGGGAGGGAGGGCUAGCAGAGACCCACAUCUCCUAAAUAAGUGCUACUCCAAGUGGAGGGGGAGGGCAGUCCAGAGCAGGGCCAGUUCACAAAGUGCUUCGCCUAUGGAGGGUAAGUACCAAACUGGAAAGUAAACAUUUUGGAAACUCUUAUGGUGAUGUGACAGGAGAAUUCUCCGUCUUUGAGUCAAUCCACUAAUAAAACUGCAGGCUUGCAUUCUGGAUCUCCUUGGUCUUUUUAUU